rnacentral:rRNA from 1 species
UGGCUCAGGACGAACGCUGGCGGCGUGCCUAAUACAUGCAAGUCGAGCGGACAGAAGGGAGCUUGCUCCCGGAUGUUAGCGGCGGACGGGUGAGUAACACGUGGGUAACCUGCCUGUAAGACUGGGAUAACUCCGGGAAACCGGAGCUAAUACCGGAUAGUUCCUUGAACCGCAUGGUUCAAGGAUGAAAGACGGUUUCGGCUGUCACUUACAGAUGGACCCGCGGCGCAUUAGCUAGUUGGUGGGGUAAUGGCUCACCAAGGCGACGAUGCGUAGCCGACCUGAGAGGGUGAUCGGCCACACUGGGACUGAGACACGGCCCAGACUCCUACGGGAGGCAGCAGUAGGGAAUCUUCCGCAAUGGACGAAAGUCUGACGGAGCAACGCCGCGUGAGUGAUGAAGGUUUUCGGAUCGUAAAGCUCUGUUGUUAGGGAAGAACAAGUGCGAGAGUAACUGCUCGCACCUUGACGGUACCUAACCAGAAAGCCACGGCUAACUA